rnacentral:rRNA from 1 species
CGGAACACGUACGCAACCUUCCUUUAACUGGAGGAUAGCCCCUCGAAAGAGGGAUUAAUACUCCGUAACAUAAUGAUAAGGCAUCUUAUUAUUAUUAUAGCUCCGGCGGUUAAAGAUGGGCGUGCGGCUGAUUAGGUAGUUGGCAGGGUAACGGCCUACCAAGCCUACGAUCAGUAGCUGAUGUGAGAGCAUGAUCAGCCACACGGGCACUGAGACACGGGCCCG